CCACUGCACCUGCAGCACAUGGAAGUUCCCAGACUAAGGGUCCAGUGCAAGCUGCAGCUGUGGUCUAAUCUAUGCCACAGCCAUGGCAAUACAGGAUCCCAGCUGCAUAUGCGACCUGACCUUUGGGGCAGCUUGAGGCAAUGUAGGAUCCUUAACCCACUGGGCGAGGCCAGGGAUGGAACCUGCACCCUCACAGAGACAACAUCCUGUCCUUAACCUGCUAAGCCACAAUGGGAAGGCCUAGCUGUGGGAAUCUUGAACCAGGAUUCAACCUCCUAGUGUCUUAAUGUCCUCAUCAUUCAUCAGGUGCCUGGCACUCGGGUCUUUAGUGUCUGGUACGGUGAGGGUGGUGAGGGCCCAGAAAACGAGCACUUUCCUGAGGCUUGUCCCUCAGAUGGGCCACCAUGGAACUCUGUGGGCAGAGCGAGGCCAGGAGAGGAGCGGGACAAGACCCUGGUGGUCUCUAGUCUGGGAGGCCAAGUGUGGGGCACCUGGGCAGCAUUGCCCAAUCUCAGACCUGCCUCUGUGCCCCAGGGACAGUGCCUACUCUCAGACAUUCUUGGUCCUGUCACCUCGACAACCAUAGAGGCUCAGAAACCUAAGACCACGUGAACGCACUUAUGGCUCAGUGGUAACAAACCCAACUAGGAUCUGUGAGGACAUGGGUUGCACCCCUCAGUAGGUUAAGGAUCCGGCAUUGCCAUGAGCUGUAGUGAAAGUCUCAGAUAUGGCUUGGAUCUGGCAUUGCUGUGGCUAUGGUGUGGGCCAGCAGCUGCAGCUCUGAUUCAACCCCUAGCCUGGGAACUUUCAUAUGUCGUGGGUGCAGCCCUCUAAAGAAAAGAAAAAAAAAAGAACUAAGGAAGAGGAGUUCCCUCUGUGGUGCAACAGGAUUGGAGGUGUCUUGGGAGCACUGGGACAUUGGUUCAAUCCCCCGCUGGGCACCGUGGGUUAAGGCUCCUGUGUUGCUGCAACUGGCCCCAGAACUCCACAUACAGUGGGGCAGCCAAAAAAACAAAAAACAAAAAACAAAAAACCUAAGGUGGACUUUAUGGAAGGUAAAGCCCCUGGGAAAAACAACUGGGGCACAACAUUGUAAAUCAACUAUACUCUAAUUAAAUUGGAAUUCUUAACCCACUGAGUGAGUCCAGGGAUCAAACCUGUAUCCUCAUGGAUACUAGUUGGGUUCUUAACCUGCUGAGCCGCAAUGGGAACUCCCACAAAAUGUUUCGAUCAUCCUGCAAGUGACCCCGACAUAGCUCUGGAGGUCCUGACAACUUUUGUACACUCUCGUCCUGCACAGCCAUAAUAUGGGAGUAUCUGGGCAGGUCCCUUUAGCAGGUAUGUCCCUCUAGGCUGUUGUAAUCUCGCCAACUACUUAUUAUUCGCACCUGGUGUUUCUGUACCAAGAUGGUUUCCACUUGGCUCCUAUAGGUCAUCCAGCCAGCGACACCUGCCUAUUAAAUUCUGAACUCAGGCUCCUCGGCAGGUACCAGAGGCCAACUGCCUCUUAAUGAUG
rnacentral:lncRNA from 1 species